CCUACGGGUGGCAGCAGUCGAGAAUCAUUCACAAUGGGGGAAACCCUGAUGGUGCGACGCCGCGUGGGUGCAUGAAGGUCUUCGGAUUUUAAGCCCCUGUCAUGUGGGAGCAAAUUGAAAAGAUAGUACCACAAGAGGAAGAGACGGCUAACUCUGUGCCAGCAGCCGCGGUAAUACCGAGGUCUCAAGCGUUUUUCGGAAUCACUGGGCGUAAAGGGUGCGUAGGCUGUUUCGUAAGUCGUGUGUGAAAGGCGCGGUCUCAACCCGCGUACGGCACAUGAUACUGCGAGACUAGAGUGAUGGAGGGGGAACCGGAAUUCUAGGUGUAGCAGUGAAAUGCGUAGAUA
rnacentral:rRNA from 1 species